rnacentral:rRNA from 1 species
CCUACGGGAGGCAGCAGUCGAGAAUCAUUCACAAUGGGGGAAACCCUGAUGGUGCGACGCCGCGUGGGGGAAUGAAGGUCUUCGGAUUGUAAACCCCUGUCAUGUGGGAGCAAAUUAAAAAGAUAGUACCACAAGAGGAAGAGACGGCUAACUCUGUGCCAGCAGCCGCGGUAAUACAGAGGUCUCAAGCGUUGUUCGGAAUCACUGGGCGUAAAGCGUGCGUAGGCUGUUUCGUAAGUCGUGUGUGAAAGGCGGGGGCUCAACCCGCGGACGGCACAUGAUACUGCGAGACUAGAGUAAUGGAGGGGGAACCGGAAUUCUCGGUGUAGCAGUGAAAUGCGUAGAUAUCGAGAGGAACACUCGUGGCGAAGGCGGGUUCCUGGACAUUAACUGACGCUGAGGCACGAAGGCCAGGGGAGCGAAAGGGAUUAGAUACCCCAGUAGUC